GACAGCUUGCAGGAGUCAUCCGUCACCAGUAGUGAUUACAAUGGUGCGAAGAUCAAGGUUAUAGGUGUUGGUGGCGGGGGGUCCAAUGCUGUUAAUAGGAUGAUUGCGAGUUCCAUGGAUGGUGUCGAGUUUUGGAUUGUUAACACUGAUGUACAGGCGAUGAGGAUGUCACCUGUGUAUCCUGAGAAUCGGUUACAGAUUGGGCAGGAGCUUACGAGGGGUCUUGGUGCUGGUGGGAAUCCG
rnacentral:misc_RNA from 1 species